GCUCACGUAGCUCAGUUGGUAGAGCACACCCUUGGUAAGGGUGAGGUCGGCAGUUCAAAUCUGCUCGUGAGCUCCA
rnacentral:tRNA from 2 species